rnacentral:rRNA from 1 species
AUUGAACGCUGGCGGCAGGCUUAACACAUGCAAGUCGAACGAGUGGCGGACGGGUGAGUAAUGUAUGGGAAACUGCCAACUGGCGGGGGAUAACUACUGGAAACGGUGGCUAAUACCGCAUACUAUCGGAUGUGCCCAGAUGGGAUUAGCUAGUAGGUGGGGUAAAGGCUCACCUAGGCGACGAUCCCUAGCUGGUCUGGGAGGAUGACCAGCCACACGGGAACUGAGACACGGUCCAGACUCCUACGGGAGGCAGCAGUGGGGAAUAUUGCACAAUGGGCGCAAGCCUGACGCAGCCAUGCCGCGUGUAUGAAGAAGGCCUUCGGGUUGUAAAGUACUUUCAGCGGAGAGGCGUUACCUGCAGAAGAAGCACCGGCUAACUCCGUGCCAGCAGCCGCGGUAAUAC